rnacentral:tRNA from 1 species
AAAUCCGUCGAAUUUGGAAAUCGUGAGGGUUCAAGUCCCUCUAUCCCCA